rnacentral:rRNA from 1 species
GAUGAACGCUGGCGGCGUGCCUAACACAUGCAAGUCGAACGGAAAGACCCGAAGUUUGCGUGGCGGAUGUUAGCGGCGGGGGGGAGAGUCACGUGUGUAUAACCUACCUGUCAGACGGGGAUAAUUUCGGAAAACCGGAUCUUAUACCGGAGGAUAUCUUGCACCGCAGUGGGCAAAGGUGAAAUUCGGUCGUUGUGUCAGUUAUAGCUGGAUACUGGCUGGAUUAGCUUGUUGUGAAGGUAAAGGCGUUCCAUGGCAAGGAGGCAUAGCCGACCUCAGGGGGUGGUCGGACACCCGGGAACUGAGACAGGGUCCAGACUCCUGGGGUAGGCAGCAGUAGGGAAUCUUCCGCAAUGGGGGAGAGCCUGACGGAGGAAAGCGGGGUGAGGUAUGAAGGUGCUCGGAUCGGAAAGCUCUGUUAUUAGUGAAGAACAUAUGUGUAAGUAACUGUGAAGAUAUUGACGGUACCGGGUCAGAAAGCCCCGGCUAACUACGUG